rnacentral:lncRNA from 1 species
CUCACUUGUAGCUUCUGUUGCUCUCCCUAGCUAUUUCCAAAGCAUCCAGGAUAGGUUCAUCUAAAGACAUUCUGACUCAUCUUGGACACGAUCCACUUACUCUGUGGACCCUGUUCACAGAACCUGGAGUCCCUGCUCACCUUCCCCGACCCCUUAUUGCUGGGUCAUGUUCACAAGUUUCUGUCUCUUUUUGUUCCCAGUCCCGGUACCAGCUCAGGUCCAGUCAGCUUCUGAACCUCUACUGUGCAGUGCCUGAGACAAGGUGGAGGAGACACGGACAGUAAAGCUCAGCCAGGUGCAGACUGCAGCCUGGAAGCAAAGGCUGAGACAGGGUGGGAGAGACACGGACAGUAAAGCUCAGCCAGGUGCAGACUGCAGCCUGGAAGCAAAGGCUGAGACAGGGUGGGAGAGACACGGACAGUAAGCUCAGCCAGGUGCAGACUGCAGCCUGGAAGCAAAGGCUGAGACAGGGUGGGAGAGACACGGACAGUAAAGCUCAGCCAGGUGCAGACUGCAGCCUGGAAGCAAAGGCUGAGACAGGGUGGGAGAGACACGGACAGUAAAGCUCAGCCAGGUGCAGACUGCAGCCUGGAAGCAAAGGCUGAGACAGGGUGGGAGAGACACGGACAGUAAAGCUCAGCCAGGUGCAGACUGCAGCCUGGAAGCAAAGGCUGAGACAGGGUGGGAGAGACACGGACAGUAAAGCUCAGCCAGGUGCAGACUGCAGAAUGGAAGCAAAGGCUGAGACAGGGUGGGAGAGACACG